rnacentral:sRNA from 1 species
CCCCACGCCCCUUUCGUAUGACCCGUGUUAAAAAGAGAGGACCUCUCGCCUAAUGUCUUCUGUAUCCAUCUGAGGCAUGGAUGGCUCAUGCAUGGGGCCAGAACCUACCCAUAGGCCAUUGCUACGUGCAGAGGAUAUGAUCUUGUGAUUGGUAGAGGCUCUGGGAAGGUGUACUGGGCAUUGUGCCUCUGCAAGGCCAAGGAGAGGACAAGCGACGCGUGGCCCACCUGGGCUGCCAUUCAGACCUAGUCACCGACUUGGACUUCUCGCCCUUUGAUGACUUCCUCCUGGCCACAGGCUCGGCUGACA